rnacentral:rRNA from 1 species
CCUACGGGUGGCAGCAGUGGGGAAUAUUGCACAAUGGGCGAAAGCCUGAUGCAGCAACGCCGCGUGAGUGAUGAAGGCCUUCGGGUUGUAAAGCUCUGUCCUCAAGGAGGAUAAUGACGGUACUUGAGGAGGAAGCCACGGCUAACUACGUGCCAGCAGCCGCGGUAAUACGUAGGGGGCGAGCGUUCUCCGGAAUUACGGGGGGUAAAGGGAGCGGGGGUGGUUGUUUAAUGAAGUGGUGAAAGGCUACGGCUAAACCGGAGUAAGACUUUGAAACGGGGGAACUUGAGUGCAGGAGAGGAGAGUGGAAUUCCUAGUGUAGCGGUGAAAUGCGUAGAGAUUAGGAGGAACACCAGUGGCGAAGGCGGCUCUCUGGACUGUAACUGACGCUGAGGCACGAAAGCGUGGGGAGCAAACAGGAUUAGAUACCCGUGUAGUC